ensembl:lncRNA
UAUAUACAGGGGGUACUGGUACAGAGUCAGUGUGGAGGUUAUAUACAGGGGGUACCAGUACAGAGUCAGUGUGGAGGUUAUAUACAGGGGGUACUGGUACAGAGUCAGUGUGGAGGUUAUAUACAGGGGGUACCAGUACAGAGUCAGUGUGGAGGUUAUAUACAGGGGGUACCAGUACAGAGUCAGUGUGGAGGUUAUAUACAGGGGGUACCGGUACAGAGUCAGUGUGGAGGUUAUAUACAGGGGGUACUGGUACAGAGUCAAUGUGGAGGCUAUAUACAGGGGCUACCGGUACAGAGUCAAUGUGGAGGCUAUAUACAGGGGGUACUGGUACAGAGUCAAUGUGGAGGCUAUAUACAGGGGGUACCGGUACAGAGUCAAUGUGGAGGCUAUAUACAGGGGGCACC